GAUAUAGUGCGGUAGGUUAGCCAUUCUGCUUUGAUCAUUAGUAUAUCAGUAGGAUCUACAAGUGUCACAAUAUGUAAUGGUAUUUAUUUACAUUUAAAAUUUAAAUAUACUAAUACUGCCUAUUGGUCGGAAAAGAACGCAAUGUAUUUAUCAUCCCGUAUCGACCUAGCAAAAAUAGAAGCACUAAUAGCUGAGUAUUUAAGGCUUUCCAAAAUUAAUUCAUAAAAAUAAAAAGGAUCGAAAAGACUUAAUUACUCUUCGGCAACAUGAUAAGAUGUUUUUCUCAUAUCAAAAAGACGACGUCGGGCAGCGACUAAAUCAUUUUCCAACUUCAAAAUUUGCACCUGUUGCUCAAUUUCUUUACGACGAUAUUCAUGAACACCCAAUGAAGAGAAGUCUUCAUGCUGCACCUCUUUAGCUUUGAGAGCAACAGACUCCACUUGACGAACCAAUGCCUUACAGGCCUCCGUAACAGCUUUCGCAGCAUCCUCAAGAUGAUCUUGAACCUUAGAGGCGAAAUUUGCUUUUACACGAGAGGCUGCAACCAAUUGUGCAGUUGCGGCGCUAACACCAUUACAUGCGACAAUCAAAUGCUCAAAACUAGAUGUACCGUUUACGACUCCAUCAGCAGUUUCGAUUAAAGUAGUUGUAGCACGCGCAACGGCUUUCGCAGCUGAUAUAAGGCCUUCCGUCCAGCGGUUAUGUUUUUUAUAAAAUGCACCACGUGAACUGGAACCUCUUCCUUGAGCAACAAUCUCUGCCUGUGAAGCAGUUGCUGCUUUAAUUAAUCUGGCAAUAGCCUCGGUAAUGGCAAUUGAUGCGCUUAACAAAGAAUCGUGAACUUGCAGUUCUGAAGGGGACAAACUAUCGUCUUUGGGUUUUGCUGCGAUAUUUUGUAAUCUUAAAAUAGCCUGUUGAAUAGCCUGUGCUGUUUCCGCCAGUUGAUUAUCGACAAGUUCUUCAAUGUUUUCACCGGGAGCAUUGAGUAAUCCCACAGUGUUUUCCGAUUCUUUGUUCAGGAAUUUUUCAGAGUACUGUGUAAGUUGUUGUAAAUAGCGUUGUAACUCUAUAUUUUCACCAAUUACAAGAUCUGUUUUAACAUUUACAUCCAUUUUUCUUGUGUUGACGGAAAAUAAACUGGAAAGGAACCGUUUGGCCAUAUUUACCAAAUCCCGAGAUAAGCCAACAAACCGAUCCGAUCCUUGGUCGUCACCAGUUGUUCUACUUAAACCUUUAGCAUUAUUGGCAACUUCGUAUAUGGCCGUGGAGAAAAGAUUGACUCCAUUGAUGACCUCAGAAUGGUCAGCGUUAGGCCCAUCAGCAAAA